rnacentral:rRNA from 1 species
GAUGAACGCUGGCGGCGUGCCUAAUACAUGCAAGUCGAGCGAACAGACGAGGAGCUUGCUCCUCUGACGUUAGCGGCGGACGGGUGAGUAACACGUGGAUAACCUACCUAUAAGACUGGGAUAACUUCGGGAAACCGGAGCUAAUACCGGAUAAUAUAUUGAACCGCAUGGUUCAAUAGUGAAAGACGGUUUUGCUGUCACUUAUAGAUGGAUCCGCGCCGCAUUAGCUAGUUGGUAAGGUAACGGCUUACCAAGGCAACGAUGCGUAGCCGACCUGAGAGGGUGAUCGGUCACACUGGAACUGAGACACGGUCCAGACUCCUACGGGAGGCAGCAGUAGGGAAUCUUCCGCAAUGGGCGAAAGCCUGACGGAGCAACGCCGCGUGAGUGAUGAAGGUCUUCGGAUCGUAAAACUCUGUUAUUAGGGAAGAACAAAUGUGUAAGUAACUAUGCACGUCUUGACGGUACCUAAUCAGAAAGCCACGGCUAACUACGGG